UGGCGAACGGGUGAGUAACGCGUGAGGAACCUGCCUCAAANAGGGGGACAACAGUUGGAAACGACUGCUAAUACCGCAUAAGCCCACGGGUCGGCAUCGACCAGAGGGAAAAGGAGCAAUCCGCUUUGAGAUGGCCUCGCGUCCGAUUAGCUAGUUGGUGAGGUAAUGGCCCACCAAGGCGACGAUCGGUAGCCGGGCUGAGGGGUUGAACGGCCACAUUGGGACUGAGACACGGCCCAGACUCCUACGGGAGGCAGCAUG
rnacentral:rRNA from 1 species